AGACCCGAAACCCGGUGAUCUAGCCAUGGGCAGGUUGAAGGUUGGGUAACACUAACUGGAGGACCGAACCGACUAAUGUUGAAAAAUUAGCGGAUGACCUGUGGCUGGGGGUGAAAGGCCAAUCAAACCGGGAGAUAGCUGGUUCUCCCCGAAAGCUAUUUAGGUAGCGCCUCGUGAAUUCAUCUCCGGGGGUAGAGCACUGUUUCGGCUAGGGGGCCAUCCCGGCUUACCAACCCGAUGCAAACUGCGAAUACCGGAGAAUGUUAUCACGGGAGACACACGGCGGGUGCUAACGUCCGUCGUGAAGAGGGAAACAACCCAGACCGCCAGCUAAGGUCCCAAAGUCAUGGUUAAGUGGGAAACGAUGUGGGAAGGCCCAGACAGCCAGGAUGUUGGCUUAGAAGCAGCCAUCAUUUAAAGAAAGCGUAAUAGCUCACUGGUCGAGUCGGCCUGCGCGGAAGAUGUAACGGGGCUAAACCAUGCACCGAAGCUGCGGCAGCGACGCUGAUGCGUUGUUGGGUAGGGGAGCGUUCUGUAAGCCUGCGAAGGUGGCCUGUGAGGGUUGCUGGAGGUA
rnacentral:rRNA from 1 species